GCGUCAGUGGUGCAAUGGUAGUAGCACCCGUCCACGUAUGGAUAAAACGCUGGUUCGAUUCCCGCCUGAGGCC